ACAGGGAUUGCCCUAGUAACGGCGAGUGAAGCGGCAACAGCUCAAAUUUGAAAUCUGGCCUCGGCCCGAGUUGUAAUUUGCAGAGGAUGUUUCUGGCGCGGUGCCUUCCGAGUUCCCUGGAACGGGACGCCAAAGAGGGUGAGAGCCCCGUAUGGUCGGACACCAAGCCUGUGUGAAACUCCUUCGACGAGUCGAGUAGUUUGGGAAUGCUGCUCUAAAUGGGAGGUAAAUCUCUUCUAAAGCUAAAUACCGGCCAGAGACCGAUAGCGCACAAGUAGAGUGAUCGAAAGAUGAAAAGCACCUUGAAAAGGGGGUUAAAUAGUACGUGAAAUUGUUGAAAGGGAAGCACUUAUGACCAGACUUGGGCCGGGCGGCUCAUCAGGGGUUCUCCCCUGUGCACUCCGCCCGGCACAGGCCAGCAUCGGUUCUCGUGGGGGGAUAAGACCGUCAGGAACGUAGCACCCUCCGGGGUGUGUUAUAGCCUGGCGGACGAUACCCUCGUGGGGACCGAGGUUCGCGCUCCGCAAGGAUGCUGGCGUAAUGGUCAUCAGUGACCCGUCUUGAAACACGGACCAAGGAGUCGUCCAUUAGAGCGAGCGUUUGGGUGUAAAACCCGCACGCGUAAUGAAAGUGAACGCAGGUGAGAGCUUCGGCGCAUCAUCGACCGAUCCUGAUGUUCUCGGAAGGAUUUGAGUAAGAGUUUUAACGGACGGACCCGAAAGACAGUGAACUAUGCUUGUAUAGGGUGAAGCCAGAGGAAACUCUGGUGGAGGCUCGCAGCGGUUCUGACGUGCAAAUCGAUCGUCAAAUAUGAGCAUGGGGGCGAAAGACUAAUCGAAC
rnacentral:rRNA from 1 species